rfam:Picea glauca, whole genome shotgun sequence.
UCUUAUGUACAUUCCUAUGACAUUAAUGCAUCAGAUCCCAUUAGAACUAUGCAUUUAAGCACACUUGGGCUAGAGAAGUAAUGGGAUGGGUGACCUCUCACGAAGUCCUAGUGUUUUACAUGGC